rnacentral:rRNA from 1 species
ACGGCUCAGUAACACGUGAUCAACUUACCCUAUAGAGGAAAAUAACCUCGGGAAACUGAGGAUAAUGUUCCAUAAUUGAAUCGGCUUGGAAAAGUUUUUCAAUAAAAGGGAUAAGAAAAAUGGUUCUUAUCUGCUAUAGGAUAGGAUCGUGCUCGAUUAUGGUUGUUGGUGAGGUAAAGGCCCACCAAGCCGAUAAUCGAUAGGGGCCGUGAGAGCGGGAGCCCCGAGAUGGGUACUGAGACAACGACCCAGGCCUUACGAGGCGCAGCAGGCGCGAAACCUCCGCAAUACACGAAAGUGUGACGGGGUUACCCAAAGUGUUCUAUUUAGAACUGUGGUAGGUGAGUAAUGUCCCCUACUAGAAAGGAGAGGGCAAGGCUGGUGCCAGCCGCCGCGGUAAAACCAGCUCUUCAAGUG